rnacentral:rRNA from 1 species
AGAGUUUGAUCAUGGCUCAGAACGUACGCUGGCGGCACGCCUAACACAUGCAAGUCGAACGAAGUAGCAAUACUUAGUGGCAGACGGGUGAGUAACAUGUAGGUAUCUACCCUUUGGCCUGGAAUAACACGAGGAAACUUGUGCUAAUACCGGAUAAGUCUUUACAGAGAAAGCUUUAUGCACCAUUGGAUGAGCCUGCACUUGAUUAGUUUGUUGGUGGGGUAAUGGCCUACCAAGACUUUGAUCAAUAGCUGAUUUGAGAGGAUGAUCAGCCACAUUGGGACUGAGACACGGCCCAAACUCCUACGGGAGGCAGCAGUGGGGAAUCUUGCACAAUGGAGGAAACUCUGAUGCAGCGAUGCCGCGUGAGUGAAGAAGGCCUUUGGGUUGUAAAGCUCUUUCGUCGGGGAAGAAAAUGACUGUACCCGAAUAAGAAGGUCCGGCUAACUUCGUGCCAGCAGCCGCGGUAAUACGAAGGGACCUAGCGUAGUUCGGAAUUACUGGGCUUAAAGAGUUCGUAGGUGGUUGAAAAAGUUGGUGGUGAAAUCCCAGAGCUUAACUCUGGAACUGCCAUCAAAACUUUUCAGCUAGAGUUUGAUAGAGGAAAGCAGAAUUUCUAGUGUAGAGGUGAAAUUCGUAGAUAUUAGAAAGAAUACCAAUUGCGAAGGCAGCUUUCUGGAUCAUUACUGACACUGAGGAACGAAAGCAUGGGUAGCGAAGAGGAUUAGAUACCCUCGUAGUCCAUGCCGUAAACGAUGUGUGUUAGACGUUGGAAAUUUAUUUUCAGUGUCGCAGCGAAAGCGAUAAACACACCGCCUGGGGAGUACGACCGCAAGGUUAAAACUCAAAUGAAUUGACGGGGACCCGCACAAGUAGUGGAGCAUGU